rnacentral:rRNA from 1 species
GAUGAACGCUGGCGGCGUGCCUAAUACAUGCAAGUAGAACGCUGAAGGAAGGAGCUUGCUCUUUCCGGAUGAGUUGCGAACGGGUGAGUAACGCGUAGGUAACCUGCCUGGUAGCGGGGGAUAACUAUUGGAAACGAUAGCUAAUACCGCAUAACAGUAGAUGUUGCAUGACAGCUGUUUGAAAGGUGCAAUUGCACCACUACCAGAUGGACCUGCGUUGUAUUAGCUAGUUGGUGGGGUAACGGCCCACCAAGGCGACGAUACAUAGCCGACCUGAGAGGGUGAUCGGCCACACUGGGACUGAGACACGGCCCAGACUCCUACGGGAGGCAGCAGUAGGGAAUCUUCGGCAAUGGACGAAAGUCUGACCGAGCAACGCCGCGUGAGUGAAGAAGGUUUUCGGAUCGUAAAGCUCUGUUGUAAGAGAAGAACGAGUGUGAGAGUGGAAAGUUCACACUG